CGUUUCCGCACUGCGGACAUUUUCGGGACACCCUGUACGUAUCGUAUCGCGAUUUUCGCGUCAGCCCGCUUGGCCGUCUUCGCGAGAGACCGGGACGCCAAUUAACACAGCCAAGAUCCAGGCUCGCGAAACACGAAGCGUUUAUUGUUGUUUGAAACGCGAUACGCGCGGCUCAGCGCGCGUACUCUCGCCUGUACGAUGAAACCGGGACAAGCGCUGUGCACCUGCCUGACUGCCUUCGAGAUUGACCGAGCGAGACGACUUAGGCGGCCCUCACAUCGCGCAUCCUCGAGAAAAUCGAGGGUCGCUUGAAUCGUGGAUACGGUUUUCUCCGCUCCGAGAGCAUCGGCAAAUGAUAAAAUACAGCGGACGACGUUUUAAGAUUGAAUUUAGAAGAGGAGACGCAUUGUGGGCGGGGCCAGACGAGGGUUACAAGUCUCUGGACCCCGGUGGGCGGAGUCGAAGCGCGACGCUACCGAGGAAAGCUGAAAUUAAGGAAAACGCAAGACCAGCAAUGGGCACAGUCUACUUGACUGACUUCAAGAUUGAUCGAGCCAAAAAUAAGCAGCCCUCGCUUUGCGUCAACUGAAGGAUCGAUCAUCGUAGACAGAGAUUUCGUGACUUCGAAGCGCAAGGAGAUGUUACGGAGCAGUGGACGCUGUUUUCUAUUGGACGACGAAGCAACGACGCUUCAUACAGUGGAAACAGACGACUGCCAUUGGUCCCUGGGUACUUGAGGUUCGCGUUGGGCGAUCAGGAUCGAGUGAAGAGGACGUAAGGAUGACUACCGGUGCUCAACGUGGACCGGCCUUUAACGCUGUACCGUUGCCCGAUCCUCGAAAUGUGCUCGGUGAAUGGGCGAUUCCAUUGUUAACUCGGAACCGGUAUCCGCGUUCGCACGCUGGCCCCACGAUCGAGCCGGCCCGAGAUUAAUUGGCAGCGUACGGUCAAGAGUAAUCCAGCCAUCUGGUUUCCACGGGAUAUCUUUUUGCCUUAGAAGAAUGUUCGACUACUUCGCGACGAUCUCUUAGAAGGGACAAUCCGGUGCAAAAGGGCUGAUGUCUACUGUCUCUUUCGUCAGCGUGGUUCAAGGUUGAGUCUAUCGAUGGCAAAGUGUACCGAGAGGAGUAUCGGCCGCGAGGUCGCAGACCAGUCGAAAUGUCGAGCGUCCGGCGCAUUUUCGGCGCCGACGAUCUUCGAAUGCCGGCCGGCUGAGCUCGGCGAUGACGGACGAUCGGAAGGAUCCAGCGUCGAAGGUAUUUGGCACGAUCGACGGCUCGCCAUGGCCACGGGACCCCGUUGCAUUCCGCGCGUUCCUCGCGUCACUUUGCUGCUUCUACGCGAGGACGACGACAACGACGACGACGACUGGAGUGCUCGAGUGCUAUCGUUCGACAGCUAUCCGUUCUAUAGCAAUUUAUUCGUCUCAUUUUCCAACUCUAGACUCUCGGUAAUCCAGCAAGAGGAAUUCUAUGGGACCAAGCUAUCGUCGAGCUAGAGAGAUGCCAGAUAGCCUUAAUAGCAUCCGUGGUCCUUUAAACAAUUUGAUUGGCAUAUUCGGAUGGAAGCAGCAUUCGCUCGGAUUUCGAAUCUUGUUAGAAUCCGCGAAACGUCGUUCGCGCGGCGGUAAAAGUGUCAAGAUUUCCUACCAGGCGUUUAUUUAUUUAUCGAUGCUUCGAGCCUGAUGGUUCGAUAUAGAAAAUACAGGAAUUUUAGUUACGUUAUUUAGUUAUUUUAUUCGAUUAUGUUAUUUAGUGUUAUCUUUUUAGAGGACGAAGCUGCAACAAAUUGGAGGAGGAUCGUCUCAACGAGGAUGAAGAUGACGGCUCACGAUUUCUCCCAAUAACGGCGCGCGCGCGCGUCCUUGCGCCAACGUCGCCGAUUUACGUAACGACCAGCGAACCAUUUGCGAGCAGGAAAUCCGGGCUAAUUAGCGAAUCCAAUUAAAGCGUUAGCUCGAUCGCCGAGACGUUCGGCCGGCCCGAUAAAAGCGGCGGUUCGUGCGCGGGACAGCAUCGACCGAUCGGAACACAGGCCGCGUGUUUCCACUUUGGCGAACGGGUCAGGCGACGUCUGCCAAGCCUCUCGGGAACAAGCAGUCCAGUUACGACAGUCAUCCACGGAUGGUACGCGUCUUACCGGGCAGAUAAGGGGCCACCCUCGAAGUACCGAGAAGCUUUCAGUGGCACGAUAAGUGGCCGAGGGAGACCUCGCGACGCGACGCGAUUCUACUUACGAGGUAAAAAUCAGGAAAUCGGAAUCCUUUCGCAAUUUUCGAUAUUCCGAGCGCGUUCCGCCGAGAGAAUCGCUGGACCCCUGUGCAAGCGAAAUUCGUUUCUUGUCCUACGAGUCGGAAUAAGAGUUCGGGAGGGUUGCGUACUCGGUAGGAAAAUUUAUUACACGGCGGUUGUUGAUUCAUGGUGUAAACCGCGAAUUUUAUUGUGCACGUGAUAACGCGCCGAUUAGAUAAAACACCAAAGCGUAAACAAGUUCGGAAAAAUUGAAGAACAUCGCCGACUUCUCUUCACGUUGUGGAAAUUAUUAAGAUAGAAAAAAUGCAUCGUUUUAAUCUGUUUAGCGUCGUCGAAACAUUUUUAUUUUGCAUGAAUAUCCAUCGAUCGGCCGGCGAUCUUACGGAAACGCGCUGAAAAUAGACAAAUCGCGAAGCCGCGUUUCGCGUAUGCUAAAUAACGCGUAUCGUGAAAGCUGAUUGAUCCGCGGUGAAACGAUUGCUUCGACUCUCACUGUUUUCACUCGCUCUUCGUGAUCCUUCGUUUUCAAUGAAGUCCGCAACGCUGAUCGAACGGUCGUCGACCUUGGUUCCCUAAGUUCCGACUUCGGAAAAUCCGGAGAACGUUAAUUUAGGUCACGAAUGAAAAUGAAAUAAGACAAUUAGAAGAAUUAUAAGAUUAAAAAAAAAUGAAAUAGGACAAUUAGAAGACGAUUAAGAUCAGUUUUCAAUCUACC